GAGGAAAAGGAAACCAACCGGGAUUGCCUCAGUAACGGCGAGUGAAGCGGCAAAAGCUCAAAUUUGAAAUCUGCGUAAGCCGAGUUGUAAUUUGAAGAUGGCUACUUUGGUAAUGGCUCUUGUCUAUGUUCCUUGGAACAGGACGUCACAGAGGGUGAGAAUCCCGUGCGAUGAGAUGUCCAUUACCGUGUAAAGUGCUUUCGAAGAGUCGAGUUGUUUGGGAAUGCAGCUCUAAGUGGGUGGUAAAUUCCAUCUAAAGCUAAAUAUUGGCGAGAGACCGAUAGCGAACAAGUACAGUGAUGGAAAGAUGAAAAGAACUUUGAAAAGAGAGUGAAAAAGUACGUGAAAUUGUUGAAAGGGAAGGGCUUGAGAUCAGACUUGGUAUUUUGUAUGGCUUGCUUUCGGGCGGGUCCUCUGCAGUUUACUGGGCCAGCAUCGGUUUGGGUGGCAGGAUAAUAGCAUAGGAAUGUGGCUCUACUUCGGUGGAGUGUUAUAGCCUUUGUUGAUACUGCCUGCCUAGACCCGAGGACUGCGUCUUU
rnacentral:rRNA from 1 species